UCUGGCUCAGGAUGAACGCUAGCUACAGGCUUAACACAUGCAAGUCGAGGGGCAGCAUGGGAUAGCUGCUAUCCAGAUGGCGACCGGCGCACGGGUGAGUAACGCGUAUCCAACCUCCCCAUAGUAGGGCACAGCCCGGCGAAAGUCGGAUUAAUUCCCUAUGUUGUCCAGAGAGGACAUCUGACCUGGACGAAAGAUUCAUCGCUAUGGGAUGGGGAUGCGUCUGAUUAGGUUGCAGGCGGGGUAACGGCCCACCUGGCCCGACGAUCAGUAGGGGUUCUGAGAGGAAGGUCCCCCACAUUGGAACUGAGACACGGUCCAAACUCCUACGGGAGGCAGCAGUGAGGAAUAUUGGUCAAUGGACGGAAGUCUGAACCAGCCAAGUAGCGUGCAGGAAGACGGCCCUAUGGGUUGUAAACUGCUUUUAUCAGGGGAUAAAGUGAGGUAUGUAUACCUUUUUGCAUGUACCUGAUGAAUAAGGACCGGCUAAUUCCGUGCCAGCCGCCGC
rnacentral:rRNA from 1 species